CAGUAGCCACGGGAAUACGAGGGGGGCAAGCGUUGUUCGGAAUUAUUGGGCGUAAAGGGUGCGUAGGCGGUUUGAUAAGUCAUCUGUGAAAUCUCUGGGCUCAACCCAGAGUCUGCAGGCGAAACUGUCGGGCUUGAGAAUGGGAGAGGUGAGUGGAAUUUCCGGUGUAGCGGUGAAAUGCGUAGAUAUCGGAAGGAACACCUGUGGCGAAAGCGGCUCACUGGACCAUUUCUGACGCUGAGGCGCGAAAGCUAGGGGAGCAAACAGGAUUAGAUACCCCCGUAGUCCCUGUCUCUUAUAC
rnacentral:rRNA from 1 species